GCGGUUCUACACGGAGGCCUAGGGAGGCCCGUGCCUCUGUAGACAUGUCCCUGGCCACCCCUGUGGCCCCCCAGUGCUGACCAAAUAAAAAAGUAUGAAUUUAUUAUGAUUUUACACACGAGCGCCAAAAGCGGAACUAAUGCGACGCAUCGUUCUACACGGGUAAAUUAGAGCGGCGCACCCAAACACUGUGGUGCUGCUCCGUGAAUGAGAGCGCAGCAACAGCUAGAACCACCCUUGGAUAGUGGAGCUACGAUUAAUUUCUUCUGUAGCAAGAGUCGAAGACCUCAGCUGACACCGACUCCCAGCACAUUCUGAUAAUGGGUCCGUGGUUGACUCCAGGCGGAUGGUCAUAAGCUGAAGCCGUCGCCACAGACAUGUUGCCAUGUGGCUCCUGCGACCCCAGACUUUGUCCUCCUACUUAUAGGCAAGAGCGCAGCAGGGGCAUUGAUACCAUAGCAACUUCAGAGGGCCCAGCACUCUACAGGGGCCCUUGAAUAUGCAAAAUUAUACAAUAUAAUUUCAAAUUUCUAGCUACGGCCCCAGCCAGAGGGCAUCCAGAGGUGGGCAUGAAGCCACCAUCCAUCGCCAGCUUGAAGCCAAAUGCAGAAAGCAAAGUCUGGUAGAUGAAGAGGAAGUUAUUUGCCAGUGGACAUCUUUGCCAGAAGCAGGAGGGGGGUGUAUGGCUGCUUCUCUGGAGCAGACUUGACUCUCUUCACAGGUGCUUCCCUGAAUGGACUCCACUGGAACAGCACCUGGCACUGGAGGGAGAAAGUAUUACACCUUUUUAAGCCCAAAAAUGGAAAAAGAGCACGGGAUCUUAUUGCUUUUUAAUUCAGCUGCUUUUUAAACUUGCGCAGCUGAUAGUAUUGGCCUUAAUCCAUCUCCGUUUCAUCUGUGCAGUAUGGAGGCGUGGAUGCUCUUCUGCUUAGGAAACUAAAACCUUGAUUCAAGGGUACAACAGCAAAUCCCAGGGAGACUUAAAAAAAAAGCCGUCCUCCCAUCACAAAGACUAUUUCUCUUCCCAAGAGCACCUGCCACUGCGUGCUGGCUCUAAAAGCAACGGGAGCACAAUGCCGCAAACUUGAAUGCCACAGUUGAAAGCCAAGUAAAUUAAGAGAGAAACACUUCCUCCAAGGCCAGAAUGGAGAAUUUGUACAAUAUGUUUUCUUAUCUGAAGACUCAGAAGCAUUUAAAAUGCUGCACUUUUCUUCCCCAAGUCAAUGUUUACAUCAUCUUGGUUUCUGAAAAACAAAUUGCCGUACACGGUGGAUGUGAGUCGCUUUCAUUCUGCUGUUUUAAUGCGGAAAAACCUGAACAUGGGUCGGACAAAGAGAAUAUUUGAACCAAUGCGGCUCCCCACUCUUCCUCCUCCCGGGAUCUUAAAUCACACAUUCCGCAUCUUGGCUUCUUUCAGUGUUCCCCAUCAAAAUCCCCUCCGUCUGUCUGCUCCGAGAUCUCUAGGGUACCGCUGUGAACACCUCACCUAGAACUACCAGGGAGUAAUGUAAGGAGUGCAGCCAAUAAGCUUAGGAGAACUUCAGAGGCUAAUAUAGGCCCUUGUCUCCUUAACGAUGACAAUGAAGAGGUCUGGCUUCAGGUUAUUGAUGAAAUGAUGAAGUGUGCAGUUCAGUGGGUUAGGCCUCUGUGAUCAGUCGCAGCCUUGGCAGAAUAGUCACACUGACGAUGGGCCCUUGAGCAAAGCCCUCCCCCCUCCAUACCCCCCUCCCCAAAAACAAUUCUCCAGGGGCACCAGAUAAUAUAUACUUAACACUACGUCCUUAACACUUAACACUAGAGGGUGCAUUAGGGUGUUUUUUCAAGGCUCUGGUAAUUCGUGAACCAUGCCACGUGACAUGAUGCCCGUGCAAGC